rnacentral:rRNA from 1 species
AUUGAACGCUGGCGGCAUGCUUUACACAUGCAAGUCGAACGGGCUUAGGUGCUUGCACCUAAGUUAGUGGCGAACGGGUGAGUAAUGCAUCGGAACGUACCGUGUAGUGGGGGAUAACCCGGCGAAAGUCGGAUUAAUACCGCAUACGAUCUAAGGAUGAAAGCAGGGGAUCGCAAGACCUUGCGCUAUACGAGCGGCCGAUGUCGGAUUAGCUAGUUGGUGGGGUAAAGGCCUACCAAGGCAACGAUCCGUAGCGGGUCUGAGAGGAUGAUCCGCCACACUGGGACUGAGACACGGCCCAGACUCCUACGGGAGGCAGCAGUGGGGAAUUUUGGACAAUGGGCGAAAGCCUGAUCCAGCCAUGCCGCGUGAGUGAAGAAGGCCUUCGGGUUGUAAAGCUCUUUUGUCCGGGAGCAAAUCCUGUUCACUAAUACUGAGCGGGGCUGAGAGUACCGGAAGAAUAAGCACCGGCUAACUACGUGCCAGCAGCCGCCGUAAUAC